rnacentral:lncRNA from 1 species
UCGUCUUCGUCUUGCCCAAUUCUUUCUUGGCUACUACAAAGCCUACGACACACGCCAUGCGAGGAAAGGAAUGGUCUCAACGAUCGAUGUUCCAACGCAUGAACGUUAGUUUUGACCUUCGUGCUGGAAUCAUCUCUCUCUCUUUACAGCGAUGCGUGAUUGCGUGAUUGCAUGAGUCAAGGACACCAAGUUGCUGUUGUUGUCGCGGAGCUUGA